CGCACCGCCGCCGGGGCGCCGACUGGGAGUGCGGGCCGACGCGCUGCUCGUGGCCGCCGCGAAGGGGACGCGUGGCCCUGCGGAGCUCGCUGCUCAGGAGCGGUGACACCCCUUGACCCUCGCCCGUCACUAGGUCCCCUGCCGGGGAGGGGCUCCGCGGCAAUAACGCUUCUUCCUAUUGGUCACCCGUCACCCUCGUCCCCGCCAGGGGCGUGUCUCUGCCUGGAAAGCCGCCCUCCGAUUGGCCAGUUCCCACUGACGGUUGAGUUGAAACUGCCGCCCGGCUGCGCUGGGGGCGGGUCUUCGCCACUGCGCAUGCUCCCCCCGCUGAGGGGCUGCAGAUGCGCCUAGGGAGGCGGUGACUGGGAGCACCGGGGGCCAGGUGGGUGUGGGCCGAGCAGGGGCUAGCGCCCGUCUGCCCCUCGCUGGACCUUCGCCCAGCUGGUUUGAGCGACCCUCGGGCUGCCUGGAACACGCCCUCCUGCCGGUACGCCCGGGGGUCCCUGGGUGCUCCCUGCGAGCCCCUGGAGGAGCGCAGCCGCCGAGACGCGCGCGUUUGGGGAGCCCCGGGAACGCGCCGGACCUCGUGUGUGUCGCGAACGUUGGUCCAGCGCCCUGUGGGAAGAGCUGUUAGUAGUUGCUGUGGCUUCACUGGUACCUGCAGCAAGCCACCUCAGGAGGAAACAGUACCCACUGACGGGCAGCGGCCCCUCGGGCUGGCAGCGCUGUGAUCUGUGGAGCAGCUGCUCUUGUGCCAGCCCAUGUUCCCUCUCCAAGAGAUGACACUGUCACCGACAUCUCCCAGGGCCCCGGACAGUGUGGCCGUAAUAGUUACAUGGACUUCAUGGAGAGGAGGGGGAGGGAAGGGGACAGGAGGCAAACACUUGAACCCGAAGAAACUGCUGCAUCGAGAGCCUCUCCAUCCUCAAGGAAACCUCCCACACAGCCUGUCCUGCAGAGGCCAGAGGAAAGAACAGGCCUGAACUCGACAAAUGGAAUGCCAAUCUCCCAUUUGCCCCGUAGAAGUGAGUGACCCUUGUCGCAGACAGUUAGUCCUCUAGUGGUGGCCGAGGGUUCAACGAGGUGAUUAGGAAAAUCACCCUGCACAGAAAGCGUCCGCAGUUCACUUUUUAGCCUCCCUGUGAAUGGCCUUACUCAGAGCCCAGCGGAGGGUGAACAGGAAUGAAGCUCUGAUUUGGGAACAGAGACCUGGGGUGCUGCAGGCAGACCUGAGCUGGGUGGAGACUUAGACUCCAGCUAUAGGAUUGCACAGGGGAGGUGGAAGGAAGAGGCUCACAAAGGGCAGGGAGGACGACUGGGAAGCAAGGCUGUUUGCCAUUGUCACCAGAAGCGUCUUUGCGGGUAAAGUCAAUGCUGCAGCCAACAUGGCGGAAUGGCCCCAUCGCCACCCAGGCCACGUAUGCUUCUCCUGACCUCGGAUCUUCUUGGUCCAAAACUCACCUUUCUUCCAAAGGAGGAAGAAGAGGAAGGGGAGAAUCUAAUGCCUUUGCUUGUUCCUUCCAGCCCCUGGUGCCCUUUUAAUUUCAGAAGCCGACUAUCAUUGGGGGGAACAUUCCAAGGCCCCAGGGGAAGGCUGAAACCACAGGCAGUGCUGACGCCUCUGUAUACCACGUUCUCCUGUACACACCUGGGAUGAAGUUUAACUUAAAACUAGGCACAGGAAGAGAUUAGAAACUACUAACAAUAAAUACAACAACAGGCUGCGAUAAAACUCAUGUGUGUCUUUCUUAAAAUCCCUUCUUGGAUUGUGCUCGUCCUUCUUCCUGGGACAAUGCAAGACCACGCCAGGCCUCCCUGAUGAGGAGAGGAGGGGCAUGGUGGAGGCCUGGUCACGUGGAGUUGGGCUUCCAGGUGAGGGGCUUGAAGCAGCACUGCCACACUCCCCAGCUGCUUGGAUCACCCAGAUGGCUACCAAGUGCGUAUCAGAUGGGUAGUGUACACAACAUGGGUGUGCUGGACACAGACGACUCACCUCCCAGGUGGGACAGAGGGGACAGCGCGAGCUUUCACCAUGCCAUUCAGAAUGAUGUGCAAUUUAAAACUCAUAAAUUGCUUACUUCUGGGAUUUUCCAUUUAAUAUUCUUGGACCAGAAUUGAUGGUAACUCAAACCAUGGAAAGCAAAGGUGUGCCCAAGGGAAAAGCCAUGGAUGCUCACACGGUAACCUGUUGUCACCUUAGCCUUGAAAUGGAAAGGAAGGCAGCAAAUGCUCCUGGUGAUGAGAGGUUAAGGCUAACCUUCCCCGGUGUCAUUCACAUUACUGCCUUGGCUGGGUGCCAACCAAGUAGGGCACAGGAGAGGACGGAGCAGUAGGCCCACCCCUCCCGCUCUGCCACCCAGGGCCCACAGGCCUUCCCUUCUGACCUCCCGCGAAGAGGACAUGCUUUCCCCGUCCUUCACACCCACCUGGAUGUCCAGGAGACCUGCAGCUCUUUUCUGAGGAGGUGGCUCUGUUGCUGGGAGAGCCGAGACGGAUGGAGUUCUCAGCAGCAUCUUGGCUGGAGGCUUCUCCACCGACCGCGCUCCUCCCAGGGCGGGCGCUUGGGAGGCUCUGGCCCACCGUCCAGGUACUUCUGUUCCAGGCCAAGUCAGAAGGGGCCCUCAGAGUCCCAGUUAGAAGUGCCCCUCAGAGCCCCAGUUAGAAGUGGCCCUCAGAGCCCCAGUUAGAAGUGGCCCUCAGAGCCCCAGUUAGAAGUGGCCCUCAGAGCCCCAGUUAGAAGUGGCCCUCAGAGUCCCAGUUAGAAGUGGCCCUCAGAGUCCCACUGUGCAGGAGUCGUGCUGCCACUGUCCCAGAGGCCUCGGCCUCUGCAGGAGGCGUCUGGCCUUUUCUUGAGAGCGCUUCGUGCUUCCCUGCCCUCCUGCUCCUGGACUGCUGGCCCAGCACAACUGACUUCCACACGAGUCGCGGAACCUCUGCGGAGGGUGUGGAAGAAACAGAAAAAAGUGUCUGUGCUACCCCAAAUCCAGCCGGAAAACAUCCGGGCUUCCUGGAUACUACGGAGCAGACCUGGGACAGAGGCCUGUGCCUCUCUCUGGCAGACCAUGGCUUCAGCAUCCACAGCCUGCCCAUCCCUGGGCAUCAGGGACAACAACCCACUGUCCCGGCCAGGGGAUUCCUGAUUCCUCUCCACGUCGAUUUCCUCUGCCUCCCCAUUUCCCCCAGCCACCGCAGACCGACUCUAUUUCUUGAUCCCUUUAGUUUUUAAUUCCUGCCCACGUGCCAUGCCAGAAGCCCCCAGGAGGGCUGCUGCUGGAGUGUUGAAGGGAAGCUGGCACCUGAUCAGGAGUCUGACCCUGGAGAGCAACGAGAGGUGAAACAGGUGAGGCUUCAGCCUCCCCCAGUUUCCAGGUUCUGGAAGGUCUGUGGGAACUUUCUGCCCUCCCUCCUCCCUCCCACUCCAGGGCCUGAUCACCUGGCCUUGUGGCUCCUUCAGCCGCCUCUGACUGGCUGCUCUGCAGGCCAACUUGCCCCCUGCCCUGGCCCUCUUCCCUUUCCUGCUCCCUCUGAGGCAGGGCAGAGCAGCAAAGAUAAGGGCCCCUUCCUGGGGUGGAGGCCCCAGAGCCUCCUCCCUACUGGACACAGUGUCCACCCUCUGUGCAGCAGGUCCUUCCAUUCCCACACACUCCCUUGGGCCAGGGGGUUGGUUUAGGACAAAAUCAAAAUGGUCAGGCCAAAAAAGAAAAAAAAAUCCCCAAACCAGACAAAAACCAACAACAGAGGAGGAGACCUUAAAUCUAGGUAAGCUGUCCAAUAUCCUGUGGGCUGGGUUGCAUGGAGAAUGUUUAAGAAGAACGGGUAAUCUCCACAUUCUUUCCUGUCAUUUAUCUCAAAUCUAUACCAUCUCAAUUAGACUAUGGAUACUACUUACGUAAUGGCAGGGCCAGGGAGCAAGCACCAGCGGAGACAGUAUUUCUGUAGACUUCUGAAUGCUUGGCUCACUCACUUAUAUAACUCUGUAAUCUGGGGACGGUUGGUGUUGUGUAACUACUAAGAAACAGGAGCGAUUUCCUCCAGCUUACUUUUAUUUCUAGAAAAGUCUGGAGCUAGUCUUGUCAGCAGCUGUAGCAGCAAGCCAGCCAGCCAGAGAGACUUCAGCAUUCGCAGUGACAUAUUUUGUGGCUGCCAAAGAAAUGGGAAUCUGUUGGUAAAGCUCCCUAUGCAGGGCUAAAAACACACUGUCUACCAAAAUCAUAGUGUAAAACUGAGGGGAACCACAGAUAAUCAGGUUGAAAUGUACACACACAAACACGCACACACACGCACACACACAGGAAUCAGCUUGGCAUAAGGGGAAUGCUAGUGAGGUGGGAGUUCAGGGACAUGGCAAUGGCAGAGGCAGGUGGGCAGGGUACAGGGUACAGGAGAAGUGCUGGCUGGAGCACACGACAGCGAAUGGGUCCUCACAUCUUGUUUCCAGCAAGUCCUGUCACCGUGGCAACUCCUCCACGGAUGGGAGUUCUGUAUUCUAGUUAUGUGAAAACAAAGCGACCAGUGGAAACUCUAUUCUAAUUAGGUGAAAGUAAAGUAACCAAUGGGAACAAACAGGGCAGGGUCUUCAGUGGGGUCUCUGCACCCAGAACUCAGCCAGCUGUGGGGCCCUGAGCCUCUCUAGCUGGCCCACUCGGCUCUACCUUAAGGGGUGUCCCUUCACUGUCACUUUCCAUGAAUCUGCCCUUUUGUGUUUCUUACUCAAUUCUAGAGCCAGGAACAUGGACCCCAACUGGACAGACACCCACAGGUCUCGUCUGACAAUACUUCAUACCUGAUGUUGAGAGCCCAGGAGAACGCCCAGUGCUAUCAACCAAAGGGUGAUUGUUGACCUUGAACCAUAAAUCAUUUAGGCAGGAUCCUCAAUGAACGCUAGAGCCAAGGCCAGUCCAGCAGCCAGUUCCUCGACAGAAGCCGUUGCAGUUGACCUAGGUCCUCCCACCAGCACAGUUCGGUGGCGGCAGGCAGGUGGUGGGCAGCGAGGGAGGCUGAGAGGGGAGGCUCUGGAGAGAAGGACGGAAGGACCACUUGCACACAGCCCCUUUCCAUGCCAGAGCUACCCUGGGUUUAUUAAAUUGGCACAGAUUUAAGAAUAAAUCCAAAGUAUUUUAAUAAUCAGAGAAAUUAUGAAAUAUUCAUCAAUCACAACUCCAGGUAGGAGGGCCUAAGGAACUUCCUCACCCCAUUCUCUCUGGGCCUUGGGAACACCAGCCACUUGCUUUGCUGGACCGUCUGAGCCACCACAGCCAGCAGGGAAGCCUCUGGGGCUUGCUGAUUUGCUGAUUCUAAAGCUGUCUUCACGUAGAGACAGUGUCAGUUUCCCUGGGCCUGGUGACUCAGGCCUGCAGACCAGCCCCUUGGGAGGCGGAGGCAGCAGGAUUCCAACCUCAUUCCAACCUCGAGGCUCCACAGUUUAGUGAGAUCCUGUCUCAAAAUAUAAAUAAAUAUAAACUGAAGCGCGCUGGUUCAAUCCCUGGUGCCACAAAGAAAAAAAAAAAGAGAGACCAUCGACAUCAACUUUCCCUGCUUUUUCAUUCCAUUGUCUCUAUGCCACAUUCCUGUUCUUUUAAUGGUGACCUCUGAAAUUCUUUCUACCUACUUUGCAGCCUAAAGUUAAUGUGAAGUUCUUUGACAUCGUCUAGCACUGCAAAGACCCAAGGGUGCUCUUGCUCCAUUACCACUGCUUCUGGUUCACCUGUUGCUGAGAGGCGAUAUUUUGAAUUUAUCUGUUUUUAACCUUGCAGACUGUGCAAUUAUUAUUAAAUUAUUAAAAAUAAUAAUUAUUAAGUUA